rnacentral:rRNA from 1 species
CUUACACAUGCAAGUCGAACGGUGAGGGUGGGGCUUGCCCUGCCUGAUCAGUGGCGAACGGGUGAGUAACACGUGAGUAACCUGCCCCCGACUUCGGGAUAACCACGGGAAACUGUGGCUAAUACCGGAUAUGAGGUGCCCGGGCAUCCGGGUGACUGGAAAGGGUUUCUGGUCGGGGAUGGGCUCGCGGCCUAUCAGCUUGUUGGUGGGGUGAUGGCCUACCAAGGCGACGACGGGUAGCCGGCCUGAGAGGGCGACCGGCCACACUGGGACUGAGAUACGGGCCCAGACUCCUACGGGAGGCAGCAGUGGGGAAUAUUGCACAAUGGGCGCAAGCCUGAUGCAAGCGACGCCGCCGUGAGGGAUGGAGGCCUUCGGGUUGUAAACCUCUUUCAGCAGGGAAGAAGCGAAAGUGACGGUACCUGCAGAAGAAGCGCCGGCUAACUWCGUGCCAGCAGCCGCGGUAAUMMAGGGGAAUUGUUUAACCCUCAGNCNNGNCCUUNGU